GCUUCAAGAGUACGUGAAACCGUUCAGGGGUAAACCCAAGAAACCCAAAAGUUCGAAAGGGGAGAUUCAUCGUCGACGAUUGCCGGCUCCCGGUGGCGCGCGAUGCCCCUCGUCCUCGUGGCGAGCGGGCACGCCGCUUCGGCGAACGUUCCGGCGUCGCGGUCGUGCACUUCUCCCUUAGUAGGACGUCGCGACCCGUUGCGUGUCGGCCUGAGGCCCGUUGUGGUAGUUUGUCGCCGUUUAGCGGCAACCCUUCGGAGGCCCGGCUGACUGCGCGACGGUAGUUUAAGACGGUAUAAGGCCGCAAAAAUUUUUUUUUUUGCGUCCCGGCCCGCCGCAAGCUCGACCAUUCGAAUUACCCGGGUGCACGGACUCUGCGCCGUCCCUGGGCCUGGUUAGCUGUUAGCAGGCGGUGUCCUCGGACUGGCCGACAUACCUGUCAGCGACGCUAUUGCUUUGGGUACUCUCGGGACCCGUCUUGAAACACGGACCAAGGAGUCUAACAUGUACGCGAGUCAUUGGGAUUUAUAAAACCUAAAGGCGAAAUGAAAGUAAAAGUCGACCUUCGCGUCGACCGAGGGAGGAUGGGCCGCGUAUCCAUGCGGCUCCGCACUCCCGGGGCGUUUCGUUCUCAUUGCGAGAGGAGGCGCACCUUGAGCGUAAACGUUGG
rnacentral:rRNA from 1 species